rnacentral:rRNA from 1 species
UACGUAGGGUGCAAGCGUUGUCCGGAAUUAUUGGGCGUAAAGAGCUCGUAGGUGGCCUGUCGCGUCGGCUGUGAAAACUCGGGGCUCAACUCCGAGCUUGCAGUCGAUACGGGCAGGCUAGAGUUCGGCAGGGGGAGACUGGAAUUCCUGGUGUAGCGGUGAAAAUGCGCAGAUAUCAGGAGGAACACCGGUGGCGAAAGGCGGCUACC